UACGUAGGGAGCAAGCGUUGUUCGGAUUUACUGGGCGUAAAGGGCGCGUAGGCGGCGCGGUAAGUCACUUGUGAAAUCUCUGAGCUUAACUCAGAACGGCCAAGUGAUACUGCAGUGCUAGAGUGCAGAAGGGGCAAUCGGAAUUCUUGGUGUAGCGGUGAAAUGCGUAGAUAUCAGGAGGAACACCGGUGGCGAAGGCGGGUCUCUGGGCCGUAACUGACGCUGAGGAGCGAAAGCAUGGGGAGCGAACAGG
rnacentral:rRNA from 1 species